UNCGCGCCGUAGCUAACGCAUUAAGUGCCCCGCCUGGGGAGUACGGCCGCAAGGCUAAAACUCAAAGGAAUUGACGGGGGCCCGCACAAGCGGCGGAGCAUGCGGAUUAAUUCGAUGCAACGCGAAGAACCUUACCGAGGCUUGACAUGUGCCGGUCGGCUCCGGAGACGGGGUUUCCUCCUUGUGGGGCCGGUUCACAGGUGGUGCAUGGUUGUCGUCAGCUCGUGUCGUGAGAUGUUGGGUUAAGUCCCGCAACGAGCGCAACCCUUGUCUCGUGUUGCCAGCACGUUGUGGUGGGGACUCGCGGGAGACUGCCGGGGUCAACUCGGAGGAAGGUGGGGAUGACGUCAAAUCAUCAUGCCCCUUAUGUCUUGGGCUUCACGCAUGCUACAAUGGCCGGUACAGAGGGCUGCGAUACUGUGAGGUGGAGCGAAUCCCUUAAAGCCGGUCUCAGUUCGGAUCGGUGUCUGCAACUCGACACCGUGAAGUUGGAGUCGCUAGUAAUCGCAGAUCAGCAACGCUGCGGUGAAUACGUUCUCGGGCCUUGUACACACCGCCCGUCACGUCAUGAAAGUCGGCAACACCCGAAGCCCGUGGCCUUAUGGGAGCGGUCGAAGG
rnacentral:rRNA from 1 species